GACGAACGCUGGCGGCGUGCCUAAUACAUGCAAGUCGAACGCAGUGGGGACGGGUGAGUAACACGUGGGUAACCUCCCAUCAGAGGGGAUAACACUUGGAAACAGGUGCUAAACCGAUACUGAUGGAUGGACCAGCGGUGGAUUAGCUAGUUGUGGAGGUAACGGCUCACCAAGGCGACGAUGCAUAGCUGACCUGAGAGGAUGAGCGGCCACACUGGAACUGAGACACGGCCCAGACUCCUACGGGAGGCAGCAGUGGGGAAUAUUGCACAAUGGGCGCAAGCCUGAUGCAGCCAUGCCGCGUGUAUGAAGAAGGCCCUAGGGUUGUAAAGUACUUUCAGUCGGGAGGCGUUACCCACAGAAGAAGCACCGGCUAACUCCGUGCCAGCAGCCGCGGUAAUAC
rnacentral:rRNA from 1 species